rnacentral:misc_RNA from 1 species
UUUCCGUAGGUGAACCUGCGGAAGGAUCAUUAUUGUAUAACCGAGAUGCGAGGGCUGUCGCUGACCCGAAAGGUCGUGCACGCCCGAGUGCCCUCACACACAUCCAUCUCACCCCUAUGUGCACCACCGCGUGGGUCCCCCUUUGGCUUGUUCGGAGGGGGGCUUACGUUUUCACACAAACUUUGUAUGCAGUGUAGAAUGUAUUUUUUGUUUUUGCGGUCACGCAAUAAAUACAACUUUCAACAACGGAUCUCUUGGCUCUC